UACAGAGACUGCAAGCGUUAUUCGGAUUCACUGGGCGUAAAGGGUGCGCAGGCGGCCAUGUGUGUUAGGCGUGAAAGCCUGAGGCUUAACCUCAGAAUUGCACCUAAAACUACAUGGCUAGAGCAUUGGAGAGGGUAGCGGAAUUCACGGUGUAGCAGUGAAAUGCGUAGAUAUCUGGAGGAACACCGGUGGCGAAGGCGGCGUCCUGGACCAACACUGACACUGAGGAGCGAAAGCCAGGGGAGCAAACGGG
rnacentral:rRNA from 1 species